CCCUGGUUAGCUUAGUUGGUAGAGCGCUCCACCUGUAAUGGAGAGGUCCCGGGUUCGAUACCCGGACCAGGCG
rfam:Ixodes scapularis strain Wikel colony gcontig_1108379407002, whole genome shotgun sequence.